GCUCAUCUGUGGGGUUGUAUAAUCCUUCAUCUAUAUAAAUACAGCUGCCCCGCAGCCUCUGGAUGCCUCUCCGGACUCAACUUCUAAGAGCUCUCUCUCUCUCUGCUGCAUCAGGGCCUGCCUGCCGGUCACCAUGAGGAUGCUCCGCCCACUGCUUCUCACAUGCUACCUCCUCUCCCUGCACAUUCUCCCGGGUGCCAGCCUCUUCGAGGGCCUGACUGAAAGAAAUGAGUGAUUCAACUGCAUCAAGCAGGGAGGAAACUGCUUUUCUUACCUUUGCGCUGAUCAGCUUGAGGAGACUGGAAUCUGUGAUGAGGAAACAACACCUUGCUGCAAGUGAGCUGAGAGUGAUUUGGAGAGAAAGCACAGAAGCCAAUGAUGUGUGAUCAUUUUCCUAAUAAAGGAAAGGUUUUUCUGAAGCA